rnacentral:rRNA from 1 species
AGUGAACGCUGGCGGCAUGCCUAACACAUGCAAGUCGAACGGCAGCACGGUUACUGCUUGCUGUUGGGGGGGGCCAGACGGGGGCGGAUGACAUAUGCAUCGGACCCUAAUUUGGCGAUAGCCAGAGCGAAGCCGGAUUUAUACUACUAACGCAUAAGACCUGCGAGCGGAAGAAGUGGGGCCUCCGACCUUGCGCGUUGGACGAAGGCGAUGUCGGAUUAGCUAGUUGGCGGGGUAAAGGCCCACCAAGGCGACGAUCAGUAGCUGGUCUGAGAGGAUGAUCAGCCACACUGGAACUGAGACACGGCCCAGACUCCUACGGGAGGCAGCAGUGGGGAAUUUUGGACAAUGGGCGCAAGCCUGAUCCAGCAAUGCCGCGUGUGUGAAGAAGGCCUUCGGGUUGUAAAGCACUUUUGUUCGGAAAGAAAAGCUUCGGGUUAAUACGCUGCUGUGAUGACGGUACCGGAAGAAUAAGCACCGGCUAACUUCGUG